rnacentral:lncRNA from 1 species
CAACGGGUUCCGGGCGCUGUGAGGGCGGGGCGAACACCGUCACCGCCCCGGCGCCACGGAGCUCCGACCCCGGCCGGGCAGCGCGCAGCUCAACGGGCGCACGAGCAGCUUCUGCGGGGGUACAACCGCUCCGCGGCCGUAUCGGUGCGGUAUCCCCCGCUCCAGAGGCGAUAGCUGCAGGCGAUGGACGCUCAGCGCGGCUCCCAUAGGACAGCGCAUGCGAAAGGCAGCACGCGAGGAGUCACACAACAGCUGAGGCUCGGUCGGACCUCACAGCCCACCCGACCCCGACCCUGCCAUGGGCUGGCUGCCCCCCCAGCUCAGGCCCGUCCGCGGCCUGGGGCACCCACAGCUGCUUCGGGCAAAGGCAUGGAAAUACUGUCAAUUCACCGGAGAACAACAGAGCACAUCGCAUGCCAUGCUUCUCUUACAAGUGUGGAAAAGGGAAAGGGAUGCACUGCGCUUCGUAGACUUGAGAAGCUCAGAUUGAGCUCAGCAAGGCACGCGAAGCCCUCAGAAACCUGGGUCAGACGGCUUAGCGAGGUGUGCAGGUAAAGGAACUGUGAUUCUGCUCACGUGCCAUCCGGGAUGCGGGAAAGAGCAAUUUAUUCAAUCCCUGCAGUAGUGAAACGCCGCCACCUGCAGGGGGACAGAGACACGACAGCCAACCACACAUACUGUCAGCCAGCUCUGGUCGUACAAGGAACAUUAGAGCAGAAACACAGCACAUCCAGCCAGGACUUCAGAGCCAGAUACAAACUGGAGGGCACUAUGGGGUGGACCAGGAACCUCAGAGCCAGAGGUGGGUAUCGUUCCGUGUGAAGGAAACACAGCCAGCUUCUUCAGCUUUGAGGGUUAACAGGAGAUGUCACGAAGAUCAGCUGCAGGCUACCACAACUGUCAGCCUUGGGAAUUAUUUGAGGGUUUUGCAUUGUUAAGAUAAAACAGCUGAGAUCUAACCCGUCCAGCAAUGUUAAAAGCUGAGCUGGAAGCUUCUAAGAGCUGCUGAGAAGGAGGAAGUGAGCUGCUGUACCAGGCUUUGCUGGGAAAACUAUCAAGCUUCUAGGUUCACAAACAUUUCCCUACCAGGCAGACGAGGGGUACCCAAACCAAACAUUGCCAUCACAUACUCAAUAUCCAACUCAUUAAAGCUAUUUAAACUGUUAAGAAAAAUCUCAUGUUUUUAUUGUGUAAUGUAGCAUUGAAACAUCUGAACAAAUCGGUAUCUGGGCUGUACAGGCUGCUGUUCUUUCAAUUCUUUGGGUUAUAGAGCAUCUUGUCAGUACAGAAACAACAACCUUUUGCAUUUUAAAUUCUUUCCGAGGCAUGCUGGUACAACACAAAUUUCUCUUGUCAAAUGCAGCUAACUAACUUCCAAACAUCAUGCACAAGGAACUCAUCUAGUGACAAUGUAAACUCAGCAGAAGGGCAGGUCACAGCUCUUGCUUGCUCGCGCUCUGCAGUGCUGCAGGUUUGUGUAUGAUAUUUGGAAUGUUCUGUGAGUGUGAAUAAUAUCAGUAAGAGGAGAGGAGAAAAAAAAGAACAGGUGCCUCGGGGUCGCCAGCUCAGCCAAAGUUGUGCAAUGCUAGCCUGAACAUGUCAUUGGUGCAAACCCAGGCAUCGUUGAUGUUCUUUAAUAGAAAUAUCUGGUGGAAUCCCAUGAUAGGAUCUUCAUCAGCCUUAAGCUGUCCCACUACCAUACUGAGUAUACAGCUGUCAGGUGUAGGUUGGUGGUCUUGUGCUGUGAUGCUGUGUUGUAUUUUUUGGAAAGGAAGGCUAGAGAGUUUUUCAACGAUAGCUGCUUUGCCCUGGAACUGCUGUCCUUCCCACGUAAGGCAUGAUGCAUCAAUAUAUAUUGCUCCUAACUGAGUCCUGUCUGCAUCAAAAAGCUGGUAGUAAUGUUGUACAAAGCUGGACCCAAUCUGCUCCCAGAUAGGCUUGUCUCCCAUUCUGAAUCCUCACCACAGCCGGUGACCCGCAGCUCCCACUAUGGCGGCGGCCCCGUGCGCGGCGCGAACCCCC